rfam:Cavia porcellus supercont2_10 genomic scaffold, whole genome shotgun sequence.
GGGGAUUUAGCUCAGCGGCAUAAGCGCCUGCCUUGCAAGCAGGUGGCGGUCGUGAGUUCGAUCCCCG